rnacentral:lncRNA from 1 species
UAAUUUCCCGGUAAAUUUCUACCCUUCAGCCCCACUUUUCUCCAGUCUCCACACCCCCUCCUCCCCUUGACCUCAGUACCCUGGUUUCUCGAGGGAGGUGUGUGUGUGUGUGUGUGUGUGUGUGUGUGUGUGUGUGUGUGUGUAAAAAGUAUUCAGGAUCAAGGAGGGCUGGGCACAGUGAGACAGGCACCCAACCUUCCCCCAGAUACUUCAGGUCUCCAGCUGCCAUGCUCCAGUGCAGACAGACAAUCGGAUGGGGCUUGAGGUAGAGAGGGCUAGGAUAGUUCAGUGAUGAAGCCCCAGCUCAGCGCACAUCAGACUCUCCAGAGCCCUUAGUGUGCUCUGUCCUGUGUAGGCUUGGCACGGGGAAGGCUUCUUGUCUCCGAAAGUAACUGCUUUGUCCAUUCCACCGAAGAGCUGCAUCUUGGUGACGGGAAAUGAUUGGUUCUGUUUUCGUGUAGUCCAACUUUAGCAAGGAAGGUGGCGCUUAAAGCAGGGGGCAGAUUCCAGGUCGCGCCCAGGUAUAAGUCUUUGCCGAGCUCUGCCAAAGGCAGGUGAGCUGAACAGAGUGACUCAGUCAACCAGAGAGCAGGGUGCCAGCCAACCUUCCCCUCCUCAGCCCUGUGUAAUGGGGGAGCCCCCACUGCCAGCCCUGAGACCUGUACCCCGGAUCUCAGCAAUGAAAAAUCCCCCUUGACCUAAAAGUAUAAGGAAAUGUGCACUAAAUGU